AUGAACUCCAUGGAAUCCUGUAUUUCUGCUAAUUCAUGGUUAGGUGCUUGAAUAGGGUUAGAAAUUAAUUUAUUAGCUUUUAUCCCCCUAAUAAGAGAUGAUAAAUUAAUAUCAACAGAAGCCUCAUUAAAGUAUUUCUUAACUCAAGCAUUAGCAUCUUCAGUAUUUCUAUUCGCAGUGAUUUUGUUUUUACUAAAUUCAAGUAAAACAAAUUCAAAUUAUUUUAUAGAAAUAAUAAUCUUUUCUUCUCUUCUUUUAAAAAGAGGUUCUGCUCCGUUUCAUUUUUGAUUUCAUUAAUUUUAAUGACUUGACAAAAAAUUGCACCUUUAAUAUUAAUUUCUUAUAUUAUUUUUAAACCAUUAAUUAUUAUAAGUAUUAUUCUUUCAAGAUUAAUUGGUGCUUUAGGUGGAUUAAAUCAAACUUCUUUACGUAAAUUAAUAGCUUAUUCUUCUAUUAGCAGCGAUAUAUAACAGAAAUUUAUUAUGAAUAACAUAUUUUUUAUUUUAUUCAUUUCUUUCAUUUGCUAUAAUCUUUAUAUUCAAUAUAUUUAAAACUUCUCAUAUUAACCAAUUAUUUUCAUUAUUUUUUCAUUCAAAGGUUAUAAAAUUUUUUUUAUUUUUUAAUUUAUUAUCAUUAGGAGGAUUACCCCCAUUUUUAGGAUUUUUCCCUAAAUGAAUUGUUAUUCAAUCUUUAACUAUUAAUAAUCAAUUAUUUUUAUUAACAUUUAUAGUAUUAAUAACAUUAAUUACUUUAUAUUUUUAUAUACGAUUAUCAUAUAGAGCUUUUAUAUUAAAUUAUUAUGAAAAUAAUUGGUUAAAUUAUUCUAUAUUCAAAUCUAGUUAUAUGAAAAUUUUUAUAACUUUUUCAUUUAUUUCAAUUUUUGGGUUAUUCCUAAUUUCUUCUUUAUAUUUUUUAUUUUAAAGGCUUUAAGUUAAAUAAACUAAUAGCCUUCAAAGCUAUAAAUAUAAGAAUAAUCUUUUAAGCCUUAGUAAAUUAUUUACUCCUUUAGAAUUGCAGUCUAAUGUCAUUAUUGACUAUAAAGCCAAUGAUUAAAGAGAAAUAAUUCUCAUAAAUAGAUUUACAGUCUAUUGCCUAAACUUCAGCCAUUUAAUCGCAACAAUGGUUAUUUUCAACUAAUCAUAAAGAUAUUGGAACUUUAUAUUUUAUUUUUGGAGCUUGAUCCGGAAUAAUUGGAACUUCUUUAAGAAUUCUAAUUCGAGCUGAAUUAGGACACCCUGGAGCUUUAAUUGGAGAUGAUCAAAUUUAUAAUGUAAUUGUUACAGCUCAUGCUUUUAUUAUAAUUUUUUUUAUAGUAAUGCCAAUUAUAAUUGGAGGAUUUGGAAAUUGAUUAGUUCCAUUAAUACUAGGAGCUCCAGAUAUAGCAUUCCCUCGAAUAAAUAAUAUAAGUUUUUGACUUUUACCUCCUGCAUUAACUUUAUUAUUAGUUAGUAGUAUAGUAGAAAACGGAGCUGGAACAGGAUGAACAGUUUACCCUCCCCUAUCUUCUAAUAUUGCUCAUGGAGGAGCUUCUGUUGAUUUAGCUAUUUUCUCUCUUCAUUUAGCAGGAAUUUCUUCAAUUUUAGGAGCUGUAAAUUUUAUUACUACAGUUAUUAAUAUACGAUCAACAGGAAUUACUUUUGAUCGAAUACCUUUAUUUGUUUGAUCAGUAGUAAUUACAGCUUUAUUGCUUUUAUUAUCAUUACCAGUAUUAGCAGGAGCUAUUACAAUACUUUUAACAGACCGAAAUCUUAAUACAUCAUUCUUUGAUCCUGCAGGAGGAGGAGAUCCAAUUUUAUACCAACAUUUAUUUUGAUUCUUUGGACAUCCUGAAGUUUAUAUUUUAAUUUUACCUGGAUUUGGAAUAAUUUCUCAUAUUAUUAGUCAAGAAUCAGG